UGUCAAAUUAGGGGUCUAAUUUCAUUGCAAGGUUGGCAUCAUUCCAACAAUAUGGCGUGCAUAUUUACUAGUUUCGAUCAAUUCAUGGGUCAUAAAGAAGUACUUGGCAUAUUGUCAACAGAAGUAGUGAGGUGGGGAACGGCCUACAGUGUCAGUUCAGUUGUCUCCCCUACAUCGUCGCCACGGUGUCGCAAAGCCGGAAUGGUCAUCGAAGUGUUUAGGCUCGCGUCGACCACGAGGAAUUAAUUUAUUUCCGAUUGAGGAGAUAGUGAUGUCAUUCUUUUAGCACAACGCGAGCAAGGCAAAAUGUUAUUGUUUGGAAUCUAAAAAUAGCUCUAUCUAAUUCGGACUGGUGACGUCACCUUAGAAGGCAUUAUCUUGAACUUUGCUUUAUUCUGAUUAAAUAUUAAUUUCAAACUUACCAAAAAGGAUACAUUAUCGUUGAUAAAUAGCCAACAAUCAAUAUUUUAAGGAAAAGAAAUUUUUCGCAGCUGAAUUUCGAAUUAUUUCGUUUAUUUUCCGCUGAAACCAUUUGCUUCGAGGCUCGAGCUGAGAAAUACCACAACACGUCUUGCCCCCAGCUGAUCGUAGUAAAAGCGUGUCUGCCAUGACGAUGGCGAGCAGUGUGGACGUGCACGAGUCAACGUCGUUGACCACGGCAGCAUUUAUGCAGGAGCUGAGCGACUUGGACGACCUGACACUGGUCAAGGCGACUUAUGCCGCCCUAGAGAGCGGGCGUCUCACUCCCCUUUUGAAGGAAGAACUACGAUGCCGAAUACAAAGUCGCCGCCUCUCUGAAGGGAAAGACGAGCUCAUGGUCGAGUUCACGGCGCCCACCAAAGACGAGCCCCGCCCCGAGGAGCUGGCCAAGUUAGACAGGCGUAGGGAGCAGAAUCGACGAGCAGCUCGCAAAUUCCGUGAAAAGAAGAGAAACAAAACGGACAUUCUCAUGCAGGAGACCCAUCGUCUCGAAUCCAGUAACGACAGCCUACGCUCAGAAAUAUCCGAACUAGGCAAAGAGCGGACCAGACUACUAGCUGUACUUACUGAGCAUGCGCAGCUGUGUCACAUGACCAAGGUGGACAAUCCACCACCCUGACCUCUUUGCCCAGUAGCACCAAUCAAUAAGCUCACGUGGAUCUAUUCACUCAUCGCUCAUUGGUCAGUCAUAUGUCACGUGUCAUCAUCUCCUUGUGUCAAAGACAACCUUCACCCCUGACAGAAAGUUCAUCUGAUGAUGCAGCUUCGGGCCUCCCGUGUCACUGCCUGUAUGGGAUGUAGUUGCUGGGUAUUCUUGUAGCCUUGGCAACGUACCCUUCAACAAGAAACAUUUGAUCAACAACGACGUAUCUCAUGUAUGGACAAACAAGACGUCGUCGUUUUCCUCUUCCCGAAAAUAUGACAAAAUACACGCUGUCCAAAGCCUGACAUUUAUGACUUCAUUUAAUACAAAAUAUAAACCAUUUGUGCAGAUAUCAUGAAUAUGAUAUAUGUAACAAUUCGAUGUAUUAUAUAUAUGGAGGUUUUGUCUGAUUGUUCAGAUGUAUGUAAUAUAUACUGAUUGUUACAACUGUCUCUUAAAGUGUAUAUACGGAAAUAUUCUUAGUAUGGACCGUUCUGUACAAAUAUGACUUGACUUUCAAAUGGACAAUUCGUUAUAUUGUUAAAGUUUAAAUUGGAAUCAUAAAUGGCAUGUUUUUAAGUCUAUGCGUGAUUCGAUUAUCGAAAUAUCGAAAAAAUAUAUACAUGUAUCAACAGAGACACAAUUUACCAACAACUUACUAAAUAAGUCCCUUUGCGGCGACAGUUAGAAAUAUGUGACAGUCAACAGCAAUUUGUAUUAUGUUUGAUAUUUGACCACAGCCAAACGUUGAAACCAUUCUCUGAUUUUUGUAGCAAGAGUUAUAUAUGUACAACGUCUCCACGUUACAGAACGAGAAAAUAAAACCAUCGGUCAUGAAGCCGUAAUGAUGUGGACAAUUUCCGUAAAUUUGAUAAUUCCACAAAAAUGUCUUUUUGAAUAAAGCAAAAUGAUUUAACAAUAUCCAUGUGUAUAUUGUGCCACGUACAGGCCAACUGCUGCUCUUUAAAUUCUUCUACCUUUUCACAAACACUAGAAUAGGGCUUUAAACUGGAUUUAUAAACUGUUGUUUGUUGUCUUUAUUGGUAAUCGACUGGGAGUAUAUAGAACAUAUUGUACAGACAUCUAUAUCUAAUUAUAGCGUAGUACAUUUCUAGGGUAGUGAUGUUAGAAACACUGGUACUGCUUGUAGGCCAGACAGAUUGCUUUGCAUAAAAAUGCAAGAUAUGUUAAUGUGUUUUCCUGAAUAUAUCAAGAGCGUUCGAGAUAAUAUCAACAUUGUCUGCGGAAAAAUAAUUAUAUAUAAAGAAGUAUAUUUGUCAUUGUUUUAUAGCCUGGUGAUGUCACAAGGUCAAAUUUGUUUGAGAAACAUUUGAUUAAUUCCUCAUGGCAUCUGAGUGUCACACUGCGCGUAGAGGUCGGUGUGAGGUGUUUGUUUCAUUCGGUAUUCACAUACUUUGAUGAUGUGGUAUACCAGGUGUAAUAUAUCCGAAUGUUUUAUAGAUCUGACCAUUUCCUUCACAAUGACGUCAGUAAUUAACACGAAGUUUUUAAUUGAGAUGAAGUCAUUACAUGAUGUCAUACAGUCACCACGUGUCAUGCAGCUACUUGGUAAAACGAGGUCACUGCUUGUUAUGCUACGUGUCAUGUAACACUGACGUUACGUUGAUCACGCGACUAGAAGCGUCAUGUCGUCACUACGUGUCAUUCGACGGGUAGAGCUACGUGUCAUGUGUCCAGAUAUACUAUGACAAGCCUUGUUUUACUGCGUUAUUGGACUAGUAGCGCUACGUGUUAUGUGACAAGUAACGCCAUGACGUCCCUUGUCCUGAGACUAGUAACUAUGUGUCAUUACGCGUCACAUGACUAGUCGAGUCUUGUAGGUACUUCACGAGCAAUGCAGCUAGAAACGGUGUGAACCCACCGAGUGUCAUGUGAUUCUCAUCAUCUUUCUGUCAUUACCCAUCAUGCAGCUGGAAAAGCCAUGUAGUGAUAACGUCAUAACUAGUAACGCUACGUUUCCUUUGACUAGUUUGCCAUGUUACUCGUAACGUCACAUAGUCGUCAAUACUGACGCUACGUGUCUGUGACCAGUUACGCUUCGUGACUAGUAAGGUUACGUGUCAUGUGAUUAGUAACGUCAAGUAGUCAGACCGUUUCGUGACUAGUAACGCUACCGAUCUACUGACUAGUAACGUAGUCAGAAUGUUUCGUGACUAUUACGUUUACUUGUCCUGUGACCAUUAACGCUACGUGUCCUAUGGCUAGUAACGUGAUAUAGUCAGUACGUGUCAUGGCUAUUAUAAGCUACGUGUCACAUGACAAGUAACGCCACGUGUCCGGCAUAUAGUCAACUGUAACGUCUUACAGUGUUAGCCUCAUCUACCUCCUGAUGGAUGCCACUACCCCUAACAAGAUGAAAAGGGCGACGUCACGCUGCUGUCGUCUCACCAAUGGCUGCCUGGCAGAUCUGACAAACCUGUUAUUCACCUUUCGCCAACUUGAACCUCACCCCCAGUAUUGCGCCAAGUAACUUGUUUAAGAAUACGAUGAAUAGAAACAUCGUCGAUAAAUUGGUUUAGUUUUACUCUAAAUAGUUCCUUAUGUGAAAUUAUUCCAGCGCUUAUAUAUUCCUCGGAACGUGGAACCCUGUCUUCUCACGUCACUGUGUUUGAUUUGUAGUGACGCGCCGGGAGGUUGACACGUCUUAAUGAGGAGAAAAAACAACCUCUUACUGACAAUUCAAGGAACAUACGAUAUAUCUAACUGUAUGAAGGAGAUAAGCUCAGUAUCUUGUUAGGUAUUAAUUAUACAGUCAUUUGUCGUUAACAGUAUCCUCCGUGUUCGGAGAACCUGGCGACGCCAUACUCGAGCAUAUGGUUGAGCAAAUAUGUCACGUGGAUAAGUACAUACAGGGACGUCCAUGCAUUGGCGUCAUCAAUGUCUUGUCUUGCUCAAUGUCCCGACCUCAUCGGGUCACUUGUCCUGACCCUAGUGCAGGUCAUCUUCCUGAUCCUAGCAGACGCCCUGUACUGACCCUGCGGGCGUCCUGUCCUGACCCUAGCAAACGUCCUUUCCAAAUCCUAACUGGCGUCGUGUCCAACCCUGCGGGUGUCCUGUCUUGACCCUAGCAAACGUCCUGUCUAAACCCUAACUGGCGUCGUGUCCAACCCUGACGGGCGUCCUGUACUGACCCUGACGGGCGUCCUGUACUGACCCUAACGGGCGUCCUGUCCUGACCCCAGCGGGUCCUGUACUGCCCCUGGGUAUGUCCUGUCCUGACCCCAGCGGGUCCUGUACUGCCCCUGGGUAUGUCAUGUCCUGACCCCAGCGGGUCCUGUACUGCCCCUGGGAAUGUCCUGUCCUGACCCCAGCGGGUCCUGUACUGCCCCUGGGUAUGUCCUGUCUUGAGAGGGGUAGUGGCGACCUUCUGAUUGUCCCCCUGAUGUCAGCCAAUCAAUCAUUAUCGAUCUUUGUGUUCAAGUAACUCAGCAUGGGAAAUGAUCUCAAGAUCAAUACUGUUUUUGAUCAGUUUUCAGUACAUGAUCAUUAUAAUCAGAUUUUUAUUCUACCUUUUGAGCUUUUUUAUCUUGAGCCAUAAAAUGGCAAUAAAAUUUGAGGAUGCA
rnacentral:misc_RNA from 1 species